rnacentral:rRNA from 1 species
UACAGAGGUCUCAAGCGUUGUUCGGAUUCAUUGGGCGUAAAGGGUGCGUAGGUGGCGCUGUAAGUCAGGUGUGAAAUUUCGGAGCUUAACUCCGAAACUGCAUUUGAUACUGUGGUGCUUGAGGACUGGAGAGGAGACUGGAAUUUACGGUGUAGCAGUGAAAUGCGUAGAGAUCGUAAGGAAGACCAGUGGCGAAGGCGGGUCUCUGGACAGUUCCUGACACUGAGGCACGAAGGCCAGGGGAGCAAACGGG